AACUCGGUGGCCGAAUUGGAAAGGCGAUCGCAUAAAAAGCGAGAGAUUCCAGGUUCGAUUCCUGGCCGAGAUG